GCCGGAGUUGAGGCAGCCGCGGGCUAUGCGCCUCCAGAGGAGAUCGCGGCUACUGAGGAAGCGCAGGCGGCGGCAGACCUGGCCCAGGCGGCCCAAGGCCUGCGCGUCCAGCAUGAACCUCUGCACAACCAGUGAAGCCAUCCACUUGCUUAUUUUCUGUUGCCCGCCCUGAAGUGCAAGGUCCAUUUGCUGCGUGGGUGCCCUAGCAGGUGUUUGGAUGUGCAGGUGUGUGCACAGGCAAAGUCCCGAGCGCAAGCACAGACAAAGGUUCGAAUACCAGGGCCUUUCAGCCUGAACCUGACACUGCCACUUUAAAACCAGAGACAUGGACAUCAAAGUUUUCCACUCCCCAGAAGGAAUGGACUAUUUUGCACCCUUCCAAAUGAUGUCUCUCAUCUCUCUGCCUUUCCUACAGGCUUCUCUCUCUCUCUCACACACACACACAUUUUCUAAUACCAUCCCUCCCUCUCCACUUCAAACCAUGGGAAAAACCUAGGAAAAGAAGCUUGCCGACUAUGGGACCGUUUCACUGCAUUGUGUUUUCCAGCUAGACCUGAACAGACUGAAAUCAAUUCAGCUCUCUCUCACUCGCUCUUUCCCUCCCUCUCCCAUGUCUUUUUUUGUUUCUCUUAGAUCGUGCUCCCUGCCUUAAGAAAGCCGCGUUUAGUUAUAUCCAUCCCCAUAGCAAUCAAGUGACCAGUGUUUUUUUAUUGCUUGUAAAAACACAGUAUCUUUUUCAUGGGAGUCAGGUUCUUCUUUGGUUUGAAAUGCCCAGUGAGCAGUGGCAACAACCUGCAGAAUCUUUGAUCAAUUCUCACAUAUCCAUUUGAAGUAUCUUUAGUGGACCCAUCAAAAGAAAGGGGCUUGGUAAUUAAUAUUUUAAUAUAGUGUACCAGCCUCUUCUCAUUGUGUUAUUUGCAAGAGGCCUGAUUUAACAGAAGCAUGCAGAAAUACCUGUGUCUGAUCUGAAUUGCUAUGUGCUCUAAAAAAUAUACAUUAUUAAAGCUGAAGUCCAGCUGUUGCUAUAUUAAUAUCCUCUGUUUUUUAUUUGCUCCUACCUUUUGGAAGGUUUCAGUUUUCAUUCUGAAAUUUUCCAGGCUUGCUCCCAAUACCGAGGUUAUAACUGCAGGGUAAGAGCCAGAGGAGAAUGCAAGAAGCUUCACUGGAAAUUUGAACAGGCGAGAUUCAGUACAGCAGAGCCAGCAGCCCAAAGAAGGCAGAAGUGUCACUUAAAUUUUGAUUGUACCACCUGUUGACAAAGGGACAGAAUUAAGAUGUGCGUGCACCCUGACUUUUAUGCCUUCCAGCCUUCGCAAUAGUUAAUCACACAGUUAGUAUUCCCUUAAUGUAGUUUUUUUCUUUCCCUGAGUUGUCCAGAUGUGAGGUUGCUGUAAACAACAGUUUCACUGCAUUUAACAGAAUUAUGCCGCUUUACAUCAAAACAGGGUAUCGCCCAAGGACAGCACAAAAAUUACCCACCUGGCCUAUCCAGAACUUCCAUAAUAAAGAAAACCCAGCAACCAAGACUAACCACAAAACAGAAAUGUCCAGUAAAAGCCAAACACCACCACUGCAAAACAGUUUAAGUGAGAAAAGUAAAGGUGUUGCAAAGUUGCAGGUAAUCACCACCACCUAGCAAGCUGUAGCCUCAGGGGGGAUUUUAUAGCUUGCACUAAAAAAGAUCAACACUCCCCCAGCAAACUGGACUUGCAGAGUCCAGCCAUAAGAUAAUGGCAUGCCAAGAGCAGCUUUCAUGUAGCCCCAGUUGACCACAAAAUGGUGAGGUCUUGAUAUACUUUAACAAUAGAUCAAAACCAGCACUGCAGAAACCCACUCACCAUGUACAAGGCAUUCAGUUCAGGUCAUGUCAUCCAUCACUUGGUCCCGGGUGGCAUACAUCGCAUUUAAGAAACGAAUUGUCACCUUCUGUGCUACCUGCAGUUUCCAGCGGAAGGCUGGAGCAAUCCUAAAUACAAGCCAUUGCACUAAAACCUGCCUUCCAGAUUGACACACUCUAAGCCAGUUGUCUGUCUGUCUGCCGUUGCGUGCUGAGCAUCUGUGAAGGUGAAGCAGAGCAGUUGGGUGCUCAGUACCACUGGAAAAGUAAUUUUAUUUAGGUGCCUAAAUACAGAUUUCAGUGUCUAGCUUCUGAAUCUUAUCACUGCACAUGCUGUAACUCACCUGCCUUUUGCACUACUUUGCUGCAAUACGAGCUUUAAUACUACAAUUCAAAAUUACUCCCAAACAGUGCAGCACAGCAUGAGCUGGUUUUCUUCUACCACCUCAAAUCCACUGGUAGUAUCAGGUAAUUACCUUGCAGCUUAAACUACCUGACAUUUGUAACUGGUAUCUCCUAAGUAUCUUUAUUUUGACGGAACCCAGAAUGUGGCCUAAUUAUUUUCAGCCAGCUGCACAACUUUUCAGAGCCAAUUUUCAGGAGAAGAGGUGAUUAAUUAUGAUCCUGGUUUUGUGCAAUACAGACUUUUAGGUAAAGGAAUUGAAGAGCUCAGCUGUUCAGUUCAGCAACAAUUUCAUUUGGUUUAUACAUGUCAGUAUUGCGUGUGUGUUUAUAAAUAUUCUCUGUAUUUAAUAAACAUUGUAUUGUGUUAAA